GCCUGGGUAGCUCAGUAGGUUAAGCAUCUGACUUCAGCUCAGGUCAUGAUCUCCCGGCUUGUGGGUUUGAGCCCUGCGUUGGGCA
rnacentral:tRNA from 1 species